UGGGGAAUAUUGCACAAUGGGCGCAAGCCUGAUGCAGCCAUGCCGCGUGUAUGAAGAAGGCCUUCGGGUUGUAAAGUACUUUCAGUCGGGAGGAAGGUGUCAAGGUUAAUAACCUUGGCAAUUGACGUUACCGACAGAAGAAGCACCGGCUAACUCCGUGCCAGCAGCCGCGGUAAUACGGAGGGUGCAAGCGUUAAUCGGAAUUACUGGGCGUAAAGCGCACGCAGGCGGUUGAUUGAGUCAGAUGUGAAAUCCCCGGGCUUAACCCGGGAAUUGCAUCUGAUACUGGGCAGCUAGAGUCUUGUAGAGGGGAGUAGAAUUCCAUGUGUAGCGGUUAAAUGCGUAGAGAACUGGAGGAAUACCGGUGGCGAAGGCGGCCCCCUGGGCGAAGACUGACGCUCAGGUGCGAAAGCGUGGGGAGCAAACAGG
rnacentral:rRNA from 1 species